rnacentral:lncRNA from 1 species
GGGGAGCCCGCAAGUUUCAGGAAGGUCAGUGUCGAACCCUGCACAUGACGUGACGUGGACUUGAACAUCCCACUGCCCGAGGGUAGGUGAAGGUAGGCACAGGCUGGUGGUAUAUGUGGCCGUAAGGGCCCGAGACGGAUCCCUCCAAAGGGAAAGGAAUGUGAUAGCUGAUACAUAGUAUGGUAGACAUAUCAUCUUCAGAUACACGCUUAACGAUCUUGGGAGGCCUUUUCAGCGGGGCCAGCUGCUACAGUGCCCUUGGCUGUUCAGAUGCGCAUGCUAGACAGGCCACUGCUGCAGCCGGCAUGCCAGUGGGUGAUGAUUAACAGUGAUGAUGUGGACAUGCAAUGGACAGACCUUAAUGGCGGGCUCAUGGAUUUUGCCUGCAUAGCCUGCUUACAUUUUGCCUACGAUGGAAAAGGCCUCACCACCAUCAGCAUUCGUGUGUGCCAACUGCAUAUGCAGUCCGCAUCGAGGAAGGCAGUGUCGAACAUGAGGAUCGAGGAGGCGGGCGUGAUGAACAUGGGAAGACUUGUCGUGCAUGUACUUUAGCAGCUGGGCGAUGAAGACACAAGCAGCACAUGUAUGCAAUAUGUUCUGCAGGGCUGUCUCAGGCAAGGUACCCGGAUGGGUACAGCAGCUGGUCAGAAAUCCAGCAGCAGGCUUGACGGAGGGGUUAGUGUGGUCUGCUGCCCAGCCUGCCCAGGCUUACCCAGCUAACACACCACGCAAUGGCAAGUCUGUUUCGAGCAGCAUUUAGCACUUGCUGCACCCUUGCUGGGAUACCGCAGUAGCUGCCGUACACAGUACGGCACACAUAACGUCUACAA